UGGGGAAUUUUUCCGCAAUGGGGGCAACCCUGACGGAGCAAUACCGCGUGAGGGAGGACGGCUUUUGGGUUGUAAACCUCUUUUAUCAGGGAAGAAUUUUGACGGUACCUGAUGAAUCAGCAUCGGCUAACUCCGUGCCAGCAGCCGCGGUAAUACGGAGGAUGCAAGCGUUAUCCGGAAUCAUUGGGCGUAAAGCGUCCGCAGGUGGUUAUUCAAGUCUUUUGUCAAAGCGUGUGGCUCAACCACAUACGGGCGGAGGAAACUGAAUGACUUGAGUGCGAUAGGGGUUACGGGAAUUCCCGGUGUAGCGGUGAAAUGCGUAGAUAUCGGGAAGAACACCAGUGGCGAAAGCGCGUAACUGGGUCUGCACUGACACUGAGGGACGAAAGCUAGGGGAGCGAAAGGGAUUAGAUACCCCUGUAGUCAA
rnacentral:rRNA from 1 species